rnacentral:lncRNA from 1 species
UAAGUUUCCUGAGGAGGGGACUCCUCUUUUAUACAUUGUCUUGCUUGCUGGUGACGUCUAAAGGCCUCUCCAGGAUUGGGCCACGCGUCUCUGCCAUGCGGAUUCGGAGGUACUAGGGUAUCAGCCGCCUGCUCCAUGCGUAACGGCCUCUGAUUCUCCUCGUGCGUACGUUCAAGCGGAUCUGCCAGGCUGUCUGGUGAAUAUUAUUCUGGAUCCUGGGUUGGGCCGAAAGUCGGGCCGGACGCUAGGCUUGAGAGGAGAGAGCCUGCUUCGUGUGGGUUGGGCCGUUAUGAAGAAGCUGGGCCGAGCCCGGUCUUGAAGGUUGAAUGAGCCAGGCUUGUUGGGUAUACCAGAUACGUGGGCCUCUAUGUUAUGGGCCUUUAGCAGUGGUUAGGCCCCUGGUCCGGGGUGAAGAAAUCCAUCGGUCAUCAAUUGCCCCUUCACCUUCUCGGGAGUUAUUGCUCCAACUGCCGAGGGGGUGAAUAUCAAGAACCAUUAUGGCCGCGUCUGUUCGUGUCUAAGUGUCUUUAUAAUACCCUUUCCUCUUCUUAUUGUUGCUCAGUUUCUGAAUCCUAUAUGCUCUUUCCUCUUUCGGGCUUUUCUUUACUUUCCGCGUUCUCUGCUAUCUUUGCUUUCUUGUCAUCAUUAUCUGGACAUGUCCUUUCUUUCCUUUCCCAUGAAUGCCUUUUAAGGACUCUGACGGCAUUAGUUGAGAAUUCGGCUCCCCUGUCCUGCAAAAUACAAACUUCCGGAUAUAUAUUGACAUCGCCUCCUUACCAGUCCCAGGCAUUCUGUGGGAGCAAAGGGAUUUUUCUUUCGAAUUUGUCUGUCUGUUUCCUUCUUCCGGCGGGAUUUUUGUAUUGCCCCAGGAAUUUGCUUUAAUCUCGCUUUUAUCAUCUCGACGGAAGAUUAUCCUAACUUAUCUCUGUUUUGGGACCCUUUUGCAGUACCUGAGAUGAAGAUGAGUCAAUUCAAAAUUUUUGAGGAUUGAAGGUUACCUCUAAGGAGUUGGAACGUUGUUUCGGAGAUCCUUCUGGUAGGGCGGUCGAUGGGUGGGACCAUUCGGCGAGUUGCUGAAACUACUUCGUCCAGGAUUUCUGGUCGACCUCCCCCCCUGUUAUCUUCUUUUGAUAUAAAUGGAAGUGGCGCAAGUGCUCAGCUUAUUGUUCCUUUUGAUGUGAAGUACCAGUAUU